CCUACGGGUGGCAGCAGUGAGGAAUAUUGGUCAAUGGACGAGAGUCUGAACCAGCCAAGUAGCGUGAAGGAUGACUGCCCUAUGGGUUGUAAACUUCUUUUAUAAAGGAAUAAAACGAGGCACGUGUGCCUUUUUGCAUGUACUUUAUGAAUAAGGAUCGGCUAACUCCGUGCCAGCAGCCGCGGUAAUACGGAGGAUCCGAGCGUUAUCCGGAUUUAUUUGGUUUAAAGGGAGCGUAGAUGGGUUGUUAAGUCAGUUGUGAAAGUUUGCGGCUCAACCGUAAAAUUGCACUUGAUACUGGCAAUCUUGAGUACAGUUGAGGUAUGCGGAAUGCGUGGUGUAGCGGUGAAAUGCUUAGAGAUCACGAAGAACCCCGAUUGCGAAGGCAGCUUACUAAACUGUGACUGACAUUGAUGCUCGAAAGUGUGGGGAUCAAACAGGAUUAGAUACCCGAGUAGUC
rnacentral:rRNA from 1 species